GAUGAACGCUGGCGGCGUGCCUAAUACAUGCAAGUCGAGCGAACAGACGAGGAGCUUGCUCCUCUGACGUUAGCGGCGGACGGGUGAGUAACACGUGGAUAACCUACCUAUAAGACUGGGAUAACUUCGGGAAACCGGAGCUAAUACCGGAUAAUAUAUUGAACCGCAUGGUUCAAUAGUGAAAGACGGUUUUGCUGUCACUUAUAGAUGGAUCCGCGCCGCAUUAGCUAGUUGGUAAGGUAACGGCUUACCAAGGCAACGAUGCGUAGCCGACCUGAGAGGGUGAUCGGCCACACCGGAUCUCAGAGACGGUCCACAGGACUUCAAGAGGCACCGGAAGGGACUCUUGCGGAAUGGGCGGAAACCUGACGGAGCGACCCGGCGUGAGGGUAGACAGUCUUGGGACAGUAAAACACUGUUAUCAGGGACGAAGAACUGUGUAAAUAACUGUGCGCGUCGUGACGGUCACAAGUCAGAGAGCCCCGGCUACCCCCGUG
rnacentral:rRNA from 1 species